GAUUAGAGUUUGAUCCUGGCUCAGAUUGAACGCUGGCGGCAGGCUUAACACAUGCAAGUCGAACGCCCACUUCGGUGGGAGUGGCAGACGGGUGAGUAACGCGUGGAAACAUACCUUUUGCUUCGGAAUAUUCCCGGGAAACUGGGAGCAAUACCGAAUGUGCCCUGAGGGGGAAAGAUUUAUCGGCAAAAGAUUGGUCCGCGUUAGAUUAGGUAGUUGGUAGGGUAAAGGCCUACCAAGCCUACGAUCUAUGGCUGGUCUGAGAGGAUGAUCAGCCACAUUGGGACUGAGACACGGCCCAAACUCCUACGGGAGGCAGCAGUGGGGAAUAUUGGACAAUGGGCGCAAGCCUGAUCCAGCCAUGCCGCGUGAAUGAUGAAGGCCUUAGGGUUGUAAAAUUCUUUCACCGGGGACGAUAAUGACGGUACCCGGAGAAGAAGCCCCGGCUAACUUCGUGCCAGCAGCCGCGGUAAUAAU
rnacentral:rRNA from 1 species